UACAUAGGGAGCAAGCGUUAUCCGGAUUUAUUGGGUGUAAAGGGUGCGUAGACGGGAAAUUAAGUUAGUUGUGAAAUCCCUCGGCUUAACUGAGGAACUGCAACUAAAACUGAUUUUCUUGAGUACUGGAGAGGAAAGUGGAAUUCCUAGUGUAGCGGUGAAAUGCGUAGAUAUCGAGAGGAACACUCGUGGCGAAGGCGGGUUCCUGGACAUUAACUGACGCUGAGGCACGAAGGCCAGGGGAGCGAAAGGG
rnacentral:rRNA from 1 species